AUUAGACGAGAAGAUUUUGAGAUCUUUAAUGCAUAUUACUAAAGAUAAGUGGAUUGGUAAGAAGGGAGAAAUAAAUACAACACUGACGUGAAAUCAAAUUCUUUCUCCAGCUUAUAGUUUGAGGUUGUAGGUCAGUCAGUCCACAAGAAAGUAUCGUUUGUUUCCCUCCAAUCGAACUCACGGUGUCAAUUCCCUUUCAGCCCCUUGGCGCUCUCAGACUCUUAUCUCUCGCACAUAAUAAUCACUCAGAAAAAAUCUGAAAUUCCCACCUCACCUCCCAUUUCCCGACAACUGUCAAAACCUAGCUUUGUACACUCACAGCGGACUUCCCCCUCACUCUCUGUGUGAAUUAUUCUUCAACCUCAAAUAGCAAAUCUCAAAUCCCAACCCUAACAUCCACCACUCUGCCAUGGAGGUCAGUCCUCUGCAUAAUCGAUGCAUUUGGUCGUCGCCAGUUCGUUCUUCGUCCUCGCACCGCCCUCUCCUCGUUUCACUUUCAGCUCGGAAGAGCAAGAGCCCGGGGCUUGUACCUUCGUUUAGAUCGACUCGCCGAAGAAAUUUGUGCUCGGCUUCGAGCUCCGAGACCUUGAUUGGGUCGCGUAAAGAGGACGGCAAGCACAGUCAGGUUGUCAGCAAGAAAGAAGAGGAGGAAGACUUGAAAUCUUGGAUGCACAAGAAUGGGCUACCUCCUUGCAAAGUCGUGCUCAAAGAAAAGCCUUCGCAUAAUGAGAAACACAGGCCCAUUCAUUACGUAGCUGCCAGUGAAGAUCUUCAGGUUGGCGAUGUUGCAUUUUCCGUGCCGGAUUCCUUGGUCGUAACGCUUAAGAGAGUGUUGGGAAACGAAACAAUUGCGGAAUUAUUAACUACAAACAAAUUAUCGGAAUUGGCAUGCUUGGCAUUGUAUCUGAUGUAUGAGAAGAAACAAGGAAAGAAUUCUUUUUGGUAUCCAUAUAUAAGAGAGCUUGAUCGUCAGCGAGGGAGGGGUCAGUUAGCAGUGGAAUCUCCCCUUUUGUGGUCAGAAGCUGAACUGGCUUAUCUUACAGGCAGCCCCACAAAGGCUGAAGUUCAUGAAAGGGGUGAAGGAAUUAAAAGGGAAUAUAAUGAACUUGACACUGUCUGGUUUAUGGCUGGGUCCCUAUUUCAGCAAUAUCCAUAUGAUAGUCCUACCGAGGCCUUCCCAUUUGAGAUAUUCAAACAAGCUUUUGUUGCAGUUCAGUCAUGCGUAGUACAUUUACAGAAAGUUAGCUUGGCUCAGAGAUUUGCUUUGGUUCCUCUUGGGCCCCCAUUGUUAGCUUACAGAAGCAACUGCAAGGCAAUGUUGACAGCUACUGAUGGUGCUGUUCAACUAGUGGUUGAUCGCCCAUAUAAGGCAGGGGAAUCUAUUUGUGUUUGGUGUGGACCACAGCCUAAUUCAAAAUUGCUUAUAAACUAUGGUUUUGUUGAUGAAGAUAAUUCUUAUGACCGUUUGGUGGUUGAGGCAUCUUUGAAUACAGAGGAUCCUCAAUAUCAAGAUAAAAGAAUGGUUGCUCAAAGAAAUGGAAAAUUAUCAGUGCAAGCUUUUCAGGUAAAUGUGGGAAAGGAAAAAGAAACGGUCUUUGAUAUGCUUCCUUAUCUGCGACUGGGCUAUGUUUCAGAUCCUUCAGAGAUGCAGUCUGUUAUCUCUUCUCAAGGCCCAAUUUGUCCGGUGAGUCCUUGUAUGGAACGAGCAGUGUUGGACCAACUUGCUGAUUAUUUUAGAACACGGCUGGCUGGCUAUCCAACUACAUUGAGUGAAGAUGAGUCUUUGUUGGCAGAUGCAAAUUUGAAUCCAAAGAAGCGAGUUGCUACACAGCUUAUUAGGUUAGAAAAGAAAAUGCUCCAUGCAUGUCUGAAGGUGGCAGUUGAUCUGAUAAACCAGUUACCAGAUCACACUGUAUCUCCAUGCCCAGCCCCUUAUGCCCCUUCGUUGAAAUAAAAAGAACUUCUCUGCAAUAGUUGGGGUUUCUUAGUUCAAAUUGGAGAACAUAAUGCAGGUAGAUCCAAGAAAGAAGUGGGCUAUGCAUAAGGCAAGCAAGGAAUCUAGCAGGCAUCAAAGAGGAGAUAAUGGGGCAUUUGUACUCAGCGUAAACUGUGAAUUUCUUUCCACUUGUUUGUCAGCAUACGAUAUGAAUCCCUCAACACUUUCCAACAUAUAUUCCCCCCGAUUCAUGUCUUGCUUUCUUCAGAUGAUGUGACUAUUUCAUGGGACAGAGAACUGCUUUCAACGGGAAAAGACCCCAAAAAAAAAAAAAAAAGAGAGAGAGAGAGAGAAGAAAGAAUUGGUAUCAAGGAUGAUGCCUCUGAUAAUUUUGGUAGCUGAUGUAAUCUGGGUCAUUCUCUGUAAAUGAUGUAAAGAUUGAACCGACCAGACUUUAUCCAAUUGUGUUCCUCUUGUACAUUACUGGCUUCGUAAUCUCUCGUAAAAAUUAUUGUAUCUUGAUCAA